GACUUAAUCUCAAUCCAUUGGCUUAAUCAAAUUAAGCCAAUUAGUAAUCAAAUUGCUAAUCGAUCCUCCUGCAAUACUUGCACUGGGUUAAAUGUCAAUCGUAUUGAUCAUUUAACCCUAGAAUGAUUCUUAAUCGUUGAUCAACCAUCUGAUCGGAUCAUGAACUCUAAUGUGUGUGACCUCAUAGGUCUGAACCUAAGCCGAUAGU
rnacentral:lncRNA from 1 species